rnacentral:rRNA from 1 species
CGCUGGCGGCAGGCCUAACACAUGCAAGUCGAGCGGUAGCACAGAGAGCUUGCUCUCGGGUGACGAGCGGCGGACGGGUGAGUAAUGUCUGGGAAACUGCCUGAUGGAGGGGGAUAACUACUGGAAACGGUAGCUAAUACCGCAUAAUGUCGCAAGACCAAAGUGGGGGACCUUCGGGCCUCAUGCCAUCAGAUGUGCCCAGAUGGGAUUAGCUAGUAGGUGGGGUAACGGCUCACCUAGGCGACGAUCCCUAGCUGGUCUGAGAGGAUGACCAGCCACACUGGAACUGAGACACGGUCCAGACUCCUACGGGAGGCAGCAGUGGGGAAUAUUGCACAAUGGGCGCAAGCCUGAUGCAGCCAUGCCGCGUGUGUGAAGAAGGCCUUCGGGUUGUAAAGCACUUUCAGCGGGGAGGAAGGCGUUAAGGUUAAUAACCUUGGCGAUUGACGUUACCCGCAGAAGAAGCACCGGCUAACUCCGUGCCAGCAGCCGCGGUAAUACGGAGGGUGCAAGCGUUAAUCGGAAUUACUGGGCGUAAAGCGCACGCAGGCGGUCUGUCAAGUCGGAUGUGAAAUCCCCGGGCUCAACCUGGGAACUGCAUUCGAAACUGGCAGGCUAGAGUCUUGUAGAGGGGGGUAGAAUUCCAGGUGUAGCGGUGAAAUGCGUAGAGAUCUGGAGGAAUACCGGUGGCGAAGGCGGCCCCCUGGACAAAGACUGACGCUCAGGUGCGAAAGCGUGGGGAGCAAAACGGAUUAGAUACCCUGGUAGUCCACGCCGUAAACGAUGUCGAUUUGGAGGUUGUGCCCUUGAGGCGUGGCUUCCGGAGCUAACGCGUUAAAUCGACCGCCUGGGGAGUACGGCCGCAAGGUUAAAACUCAAAUGAAUUGACGGGGGCCCGCACAAGCGGUGGAGCAUGUGGUUUAAUUCGAUGCAACGCGAAGAACCUUACCUGGUCUUGACAUCCACAGAACUUUCCAGAGAUGGAUUGGUGCCUUCGGGAACUGUGAGACAGGUGCUGCAUGGCUGUCGUCAGCUCGUGUUGUGAAAUGUUGGGUUAAGUCCCGCAACGAGCGCAACCCUUAUCCUUUGUUGCCAGCGGUUAGGCCGGGAACUCAAAGGAGACUGCCAGUGAUAAACUGGAGGAAGGUGGGGAUGACGUCAAGUCAUCAUGGCCCUUACGACCAGGGCUACACACGUGCUACAAUGGCAUAUACAAAGAGAAGCGACCUCGCGAGAGCAAGCGGACCUCAUAAAGUAUGUCGUAGUCCGGAUUGGAGUCUGCAACUCGACUCCAUGAAGUCGGAAUCGCUAGUAAUCGUAGAUCAGAAUGCUACGGUGAAUACGUUCCCGGGCCUUGUACACACCGCCCGUCACACCAUGGGAGUGGGUUGCAAAAGAAGU